AGUGAACGCUGGCGGCAGGCCUAACACAUGCAAGUCGAACGGCAGCACAGUAAGAGCUUGCUCUUACGGGUGGCGAGUGGCGGACGGGUGAGGAAUACAUCGGAAUCUACUUUUUCGUGGGGGAUAACGUAGGGAAACUUACGCUAAUACCGCAUACGCCCUACGGGUGAAAGCAGGGGAUCUUCGCACCUUGCGCGAUUGAAUGAGCCGCUGUCGGGUUAGCUAGUUGGCGGGGUAAAGGCCCACCAAGGCGACGAUCCGCAGCUGGACUGAGAGGAUGAUCAGCCACACUGGAACUGAGACACGGUCCAGACUCCUACGGGAGGCAGCAGUGGGGAAUAGUGGACAAUGGGCGGAAGCCUGAUCCAGCCAUACCGCGUGGGUGAAGAAGGCCUUCGGGUUGUAAAGCCCUUUUGUUGGGAAAGAAAAGCAGCAGGUUAAGACCCCGCUGUUCUGACGGUACCCAAAGAAUAAGCACCGGCUAACUUCGUG
rnacentral:rRNA from 1 species